AAUAUUUGACAAUGGGGGAAACCCUGAUCCAGCCAUGCCGCGUGUGUGAAGAAGGNCUNNGGAGUNUNAAGCACUUUAAGUUGNNNNNAAGGGCGUCAGGCUAAUACCAUGAUGUUUUGACGUUACCAACAGUAUAAGCACCGGCUAACUCUGUCCCUGCAGCCGCGGUAAUACAGCGGGUGCAAGCGUUAAUCGGAAUUACUGGGCGUAGAGCGCGCGUAGGUGGUUCAGUAAGAUGGGUGUGAAAUCCCCGGGCUCAACCUGGGAACUGCUUUCAUAACUGCUGGGCUAGAGUACGGUAGAGGGUAGUGGAAUUUCCUGUGUAGCGGUGAAAUGCGUAGAUAUAGGAAGGAACACCAGUGGCGAAGGCGACUACCUGGACUGAUACUGACACUGAGGUGCGAAAGCGUGGGGAGCAAAC
rnacentral:rRNA from 1 species